rnacentral:rRNA from 1 species
UACGUAGGGUGCAAGCGUUGUUCGGAUUUACUGGGCGUAACGCGCGUAGGCCGGCCCGGUAAGUACGGAUGUGAAAUCUCACGGCUCAACCGUGGAACUGCAUUCGAAACUGUCGGGCUAGAGGCAGGUAGGGGAGAUCGGAAUUCCCGGUGUAGCGGUGAAAUGCGUAGAUAUCGUAAGGAAGACCAGUGGCGAAGGCGGGUCUCUGGACAGUUCCUGACGCUGAGGCACGAAGGCCAGGGGAGCAAACGGG